CCCCGCUUUCACUAACAUUCUCAAAGUGAGAAAAUUCUCAGCUCAAGAUUUUCUCAGAAUUGUGUGAGAAUUGUCUCAGCUGAGAAAUUUCUCAAGUUGGCUUUCACUAAACUUUUUCUCAAGUCUUGAGAUUUUUCUCAGCUGAGCCGUAAUUUUUUAAGACAUAAGCGGCCAAACAUCCAAGGAGCCGCGUGAACUUUCCCACGAACACCAGUGCAUAGUUGGGGGCAGUGGAUUUAUUCAUUUACUGAGACGAAACGAAGCGUUGAGAAAUGUUCAUAAACAACAUGUACAGUUUCGGGAUAUAUCCAAAUUGUAUGUUUGUACAAAGGUCACAGCCUGCUGAUGAAGAUCCUCAGCUUAUACAGAGGUCAUGGUUGAGCUGUGUGCUGAUUCAGAAGAUGCUAAUGACAGUGGAUAAUUCAUUCUGAGUUGUUCUAGGACCAUUCACCAAUGUUUCAAAACACUGAUGGAACUGAAGGCAAUAAAUGUACUGGUGUCUGGCCUGUGAUUUCAAGUAUAGACUAUAACUGAUGUACCUCCUCCUGAUGUAUCUCCUUGAAUAUGUUGUAAAGUUGGAUUUUUACAACAUAAUGUUACAUAAUACAUAGUUUCAUUAUUGCAUAAUAUUAUCUAACAGUCUAAUAUUUUAUCAUAAAUGGUUGUAUUUACAAAUAGUAUGGUAUUUUAAGAUUUGAAAGCAUAGACAUUUAGCUAGUCUAUUAAGGGCAUUCAGCUAGUCUAUUAAAGACUGCUGAUUUAUCUAUGUAGAUCAUUCUUCGUGCACAUCCACACAGUUCAGUAUAUUCAUUUGAUACUUUAUUAUUGCUUAUAUACUUCAUAGUCAACAGUACUUCCAGUUUAUCUUUAUUGUAACAAACUGCAUUUGAUAUCAUUACAUACAUGUAUUUUCAUUUUGUAUUUACAUCAGCUAUUUUUAGUAAGACCAGUUAUGAAAGAACUUUGAGCUAUUUUUAGAUUAAAGACAAAGAGCUUACAUAAACAUUGUCAAGGUCAUAGCUGAUAUGUAAGAUAAAUGUUGAAUGGCUUAUCAGAAAAAUGCUGACCAAUCAGAAUGUACUUUACAUCCUACAUGGUUGAAUGCAUUCUGGAAGAGUUUACCUCAGUAGAAUUUCAGAGCCAUUUCUUCACUCUGCAAAGAAUUUUUGGACUGACAACAUCUUAAAAACUCUCUUAGGGUUUAGUAAUUAAUAAUUAAUUAAUUUUGUAUUUAUUUUUGGCUAUUUAUUUAACCUAACAGUUUUACUAAAUUCAUAGUAAUUUUUCUUUAAAUUAGUAAGUAAUUUUCUUUAAUUAAGUAACUUAAAUUCUAUUGUUUUAACAGCAAUUGCUUUAGAUUUUCAUCUUUAAAUACUUAAGUUAUUAUUGGUAAUUAAUUUAAAUUGCUGUUAAUUUUACACAGAGUCAUACAAGUACAGAGUCACAAAAAUACAUUUAGAUACUUAAUAAUACCAUUUAUUUAGAUUAUUAUUUACUUUUAGGCAGAACUUGAAACUUCAAUCUUUUUAUUCAUUAAGCUGAUUUGUCAUCUUUAUCAGUAUUUUUGGCAUUUUUCUAACUUGUAUAUUUAGAUCACUUUGUAAAAUAUUAGUUUAGAAAGAUAAGUAAAAAUUUGAUUGGUUUCUAAAUUUAUUCAGCAUUUUGUGUUUUUAUUUUCCCUUUCAAAGUAAAGGAUGGUGUCAUCCUGACGUGUCAGUUAUUCUGACGUAAUAAUUUACUACUAGCAAACAGCUAGUUUAGACCACUGCUUCCAAGCAAACUAUUAAACGAACAUACAUAGACAGGCUGUUCAAAAAGACAGCGUUAAAAACUAAAAAUUUUAUUCCCCACAACAAUGGUGUCAGAAUCGGGAUAGUUUUGAAAAUUGUUAAUUUUCUCAACUUGGAAGCAGCUUAUUUUUGAAAUAGUAAAUUUUUGUAUUUUUGAAGUAGUAGAUUUUUCAAAAUUAUUUUUGAAGGCAAAUUCAGCAAUUAAGUACCUAAGUGAACUGCCACACUACAGUAUAACCUUGUCCUUUCUAUUCUUCCUUCAACUGUGCUAAGCAAUUUGUUCUAUUUCAACUGACAAGGAUUGCCGUAAGGUUGAAGCUCGGUGCGAGUUUGUUCAGAAAGCUUAGUUUCAGUUUAAUAGCAUGUAAGAUAGAACGGUAAAUUCAUUGACAACCUUCCGACUAUACGGUGUGGAAGUCGGGUAAAACUGGGCGUUAUAUGAUUUUAUCGUUUUGUUAUUAUUUCAGUACAGCGGUAAGAGCAUAUUUCUGGCUAUACGUUGAGGAAGCUGGAGCACGUUGAGGAAGCUGGAGCACGCAAGUGUUAUAUAUGAUUUUUAUGGCUGUACACCUCUUUUCUUUCUUCUGCCCAGGCCUAUUGUUCUCUUUUAAAUUAUAAAGGCCAACUCCCUUUAGAGACCUUGACCCUCAAGCAGUUCAAGUCAAGUUCUCCAAUAUUACACUGAGAUCUGCAGCAGACCCAGUUUCAGAUCUAUGAAGUGAAGUCUUAGCCAACUAAUAACUCAUUCAUUUCAGCGUCCGUAAGUGCUCUACAUUUUUAAGUAUCCACAAUUUACUUUUGGCUUUAUUGUGUGGAUGACUUCAUUAUUUUGUCCGAAAAGGCUACCCUCUCAAAAUUUUCAACAUCGGAGCACUCCACAGGCAUUUUACUAAAAUAACCUCAAAAUUCUGUCCGUUUAUUGGCUUCCACCAAAUAGAGAAAGAAUAUUUCUCUCAGUAUUGUCAUACCAAGAUUUUGUCAGCUGCCAAGAAACACAAAACAGCCGUACAUUCUACCGAGCAAAACUACAGAAGAUGGCACCAGAAACCAGUACUCUACCAGUCCUACCGCUCUACACCAACUACAAACUGAACCAUCACAUCACAUCACGUCUGUAUGUGAUGACUUCUUAUCUUCCGGAAACCAAAUCAGAAGUCAUUCUUUAAUUUCUGAUGAUGACCAGGCAUCAAUGACAACAAACAAAACACCACUACUACGAGAUGCUACAACAACUGCAAACCAGAAUAGACCUGUACUGGAAGCAGGUAGAAGAAACACCACCACCGAAGUAACAAUACAACUCCAACCUCUGCAUGAUCCGUUACCUGCUCAUCCAUCUUCUACAAGCAAUCGGCCAGAUGAAAACACAAACCAUCAGCCAGCCUUUGAAGCUUCAUACAGUCACGGAGGAAAGCUUCAAGCAGG